rnacentral:rRNA from 1 species
AUUGAACGCUGGCGGCAGGCCUAACACAUGCAAGUCGAGCGGAUGACGGGAGCUUGCUCCUUGAUUCAGCGGCGGACGGGUGAGUAAUGCCUAGGAAUCUGCCUGGUAGUGGGGGACAACGUUUCGAAAGGAACGCUAAUACCGCAUACGUCCUACGGGAGAAAGCAGGGGACCUUCGGGCCUUGCGCUAUCAGAUGAGCCUAGGUCGGAUUAGCUAGUAAGUGAGGUAAUGGCUCACCUAGGCGACGAUCCGUAACUGGUCUGAGAGGAUGAUUAGUCACACUGGAACUGAGACACGGUCCAGACUCCUACGGGAGGCAGCAGUGGGGAAUAUUGGACAAUGGGCGAAAGCCUGAUCCGGCCAUGCCGCGUGUGUGAAGAAGGUCUUCGGAUUGUAAAGCACUUUAAGUUGGGAGGAAGGGCAGUAAGCUAAUACCUUGCUGUUUUGACGUUACCGACAGAAUAAGCACCGGCUAACUCUGUGCCAGCCGCCGCAGUAAGAC